rnacentral:rRNA from 1 species
AUUGAACGCUGGCGGCAGGCUUAACACAUGCAAGUCGAGCGAGCGGCGGACGGGUGAGUAAUGUCUGGGAAACUGCCUGAUGGAGGGGGAUAACUACUGGAAACGGUAGCUAAUACCGCAUACCAUCAGAUGUGCCCAGAUGGGAUUAGCUAGUAGGUGGGGUAAUGGCUCACCUAGGCGACGUUCCCUCGCUGGUCUGAGCGGAUGACCAGCCCAACUGGAAUGGAGAAACGGUCCAGACUCUUACGGGAGGCAGCAGUGGGAAUAUUGCACAAUGGGCGCAAGCCUGAUGCAGCCAUGCCGCGUGUGUGAAGAAGGCCUUCGGGUUGUAAAGCACUUUCAGCGAGGAGGCGUUACCCGCAGAAGAAGCACCGGCUAACUCCGUGCCAGCAGCCGCGGUAAUAC